YUKYWKRRKKSGCCCUUAGGAAGCACCGGCUAACUCCGUGCCAGCAGCCGCGGUAAUACGGAGGGUGCGAGCGUUGUUCGGAUUUAUUGGGCGUAAAGCGCGUGUAGGCGGUUUUUUAAGUCUGAUGUGAAAGCCCCGGGCUCAACCUGGGAAGUGCAUUGGAUACUGGGAGACUUGAAUACGGGAGAGGGUAGUGGAAUUCCUAGUGUAGGAGUGAAAUCCGUAGAUAUUAUUGACGCUGAGACGCGAAAGCGUGGGGAGCAAACAGGAUUAGAUACCCUGGUAGUCCACGCCGUAAACGAUGAGAACUAGGUGUCGCGGGUA
rnacentral:rRNA from 1 species